rnacentral:miRNA from 1 species
AUAUCAUGAUGAUGAUGAUGAUGAUGAUGAUGACGAUCAUGGCACGAUGACAGAAAGCAUGUAAAUGAUCCAAAUCAUCAUCGUCAUCAUCCUCAUGU